rnacentral:rRNA from 1 species
UACGAAGGGGGCUAGCGUUGUUCGGAAUUACUGGGCGUAAAGCGCGCGUAGGCGGGUUUCUAAGUCAGGUGUGAAAUCCCGGGGCUCAACCUCGGAACUGCAUUUGAAACUGGAUACCUAGAGUCCGGGAGAGGUUCGUGGAAUACCGAGUGUAGAGGUGAAAUUCGUAGAUAUUCGGUGGAACACCAGUGGCGAAGGCGACGAACUGGACCGGUACUGACGCUGAGGUGCGAAAGUGUGGGGAGCAAACAGG